rfam:Gossypium hirsutum cultivar TM-1 chromosome 6, whole genome shotgun sequence
GAUAGUAAAAUGAAAAUUUAGAUUUUUCUUCCUGAUUUUCUGCUUUUUCAUCCUGAAAAAAAUUCAAAUCCAAUUAAAAAUGCUAAAAAUCAAGAGGAAAAAUCUAAUUUGUCAUCAUCCUAUC